GACGAACGCUGGCGGCGUGCUUAACACAUGCAAGUCGAACGGACAGGUCCUGCUUUUGUGGGUUGCUCGUGUGGCGAACGGGUGAGUAACACGUGUGUAAACUGCCCUUGACUUAGGGAGAACACCAGGAAACUGGGGCUAAUACCGGAGAGGAGCUCCUGCUGCAUGGUGGUGGUUGGUAAGAUUCGGCUGUUGUGGCUGGUCUCGCUGCUUAUGCGCUUGUUGGUGUGGUAGUGGCUGCCCAAGGCUUCGACGGGUAGCCUGCAUGAGAGGGUGAACGGCCACAUUGGGACUGAGAUACGGCCCAGACUGCAACGUGAGGCAGAAGUGGGGAGUAUGGCAGAGUGGGCGGAAGCCUGAUGCAGAAACGCCGGGUGCGGGAUGACGGCUUUCGGGUGGUAAACAGAUUUGGCAUGUGACGAGGCGGGAUUGACGGUAAUGGGUAAAGAAGCCCCGGCUAACUACGUG
rnacentral:rRNA from 1 species